rnacentral:rRNA from 1 species
GAUAANNNACUGCGCAUGAAAUUUAAAUAGCCGCAAUUUCUGUGCUCGGUAGCAUAGUCCUUUGUUGUAGUAAUUAUAUUCUAGAAUGAAAGGUUUUACAUGAAAUUUCUAUAAAAAUUAUAAAUAUUUAAAUUUUAUUUAAUAUAAAAAUAUAUUAAUUUACUAAAAAGACGAUAAGACCCUAUUGAAUUUUACUUUUGUUUAGCUGGGGCAGCUUUAUAAUAAAAAUUUUAUCUUAUUAACUUAUAAACCACCCAAAAAAUUUGAAAUUUAAUCAAAUUACCAUAGGGAUAACAGCGUAAUAUUUUUUUAAAGUUCUUAUUAAAAAAAAAGCUUACGACCUCGAUGUUGAAUUAAUUAUCUUUAUAAAGCAAAAUUUAUAAAAGUAGGUCUGUUCGACCUUUAAUAAAUUACAUGAUCUGAGUUCAAAACCGGAGA